rnacentral:rRNA from 1 species
UACGGGGGGGGCAAGCGUUGUUCGGAAUUACUGGGCGUAAAGGGUUCGUAGGUGGCCAACUAAGUCAUACGUGAAAUCCCUCAGCUUAACCGGGGAACUGCGUCUGAUACUGGAUGGCUUGAGUUCGGGAGAGGGAUGCGGAAUUCCAGGUGUAGCGGUGAAAUGCGUAGAUAUCUGGAGGAACACCGGUGGCGAAGGCGGCAUCCUGGACCGACACUGACACUGAGGAGCGAAAGCCAGGGGAGCAAACGGG